rnacentral:rRNA from 1 species
GUCUACGGCCACGCCACCCUGAACACGCCCGAUCCCGUCUCAUCUCGGAAGCUAAGUGGGGUCAGGCCUGGUUAGUACUUGGAUGGGAGGCCACCUAGGAAGACCAGGUUCUGUAGGUG